UCCGGCAUGGUCUAGUGGCUAGGAUACGCGGCUCUCACCCGCGAGGCCCGGGUUCGAUUCCCGGUGUCGGAA
rnacentral:tRNA from 3 species